rnacentral:tRNA from 1 species
GCUCCUGUAGCUCAGUGGUAGAGCGCUACUCUUAUAAAGNNUAAAGUAGAUGUCCUUGGUUCGAAUCCAAGCGGGAGCACUA